rnacentral:tRNA from 1 species
GCCUUCGUGGUGUAGUGGUAACACGCUGGGCGCGUAUUCCAGAGCUCCGGGGUUCGAAUCCCGGCGAAGGCG